UUUGCCCCUCUCCUCGGGUUAAACCCGAGGACUAGCCCUCUCCCCGCAAGCGGGGAGGGGGGACGUGCCUGAUCGGGCACAUCCCAUUCCAAGCAAUCUGGCGGAGGCAACAGAGCGCUGCGAGUCCCUUCGCCCCGCUUGCGGGGAGAAGGUGCCGGC
rnacentral:sRNA from 1 species